UGAGGAAUAUUGGUCAAUGGGCGCGAGCCUGAACCAGCCAAGUAGCGUGCAGGAUGACGGCCCUAUGGGUUGUAAACUGCUUUUGUAUGGGGAUAAAGUCAAUCACGUGUGAUUGUUUGCAGGUACCAUACGAAUAAGGACCGGCUAAUUCCGUGCCAGCAGCCGCGGUAAUACGGAAGGUCCAGGCGUUAUCCGGAUUUAUUGGGUUUAAAGGGAGCGUAGGCCGGAGAUUAAGUGUGUUGUGAAAUGUAGACGCUCAACGUCUGACUUGCAGCGCAUACUGGUUUCCUUGAGUACGCACAACGUUGGCGGAAUUCGUCGUGUAGCGGUGAAAUGCUUAGAUAUGACGAAGAACUCCGAUUGCGAAGGCAGCUGACGGGAGCGCAACUGACGCUUAAGCUCGAAGGUGCGGGUAUCGAACAGGAUUAGAUACCCUGGUAGUCCGCACAGUAAACGAUGGAUGCCCGCUGUUGGUACCUGGUAUCAGCGGCUAAGCGAAAGCAUUAAGCAUCCCACCUGGGGAGUACGCCGGCAACGGUG
rnacentral:rRNA from 1 species